rnacentral:rRNA from 1 species
UACGUAGGGUGCAAGCGUUGUCCGGAAUUAUUGGGCGUAAAGAGCGUGUAGGCGGCCCCGUUAGUCCGCUGUGAAAGUCCAGGGCUCAACCCUGGGAUGCCGGUCGAUACUGCCGGACUAGAGUUCGGAAGAGGCGAGUGGAAUUCCCGGUGUAGCGGUGAAAUGCGCAGAUAUCGGGAGGAACACCAGUAGCGAAGGCGGCACUCUGGGCCGUGACUGACGCUGAGGAGCGAAAAGCGUGGGUAGCAAACAGG